rnacentral:rRNA from 1 species
UACGUAGGGUGCAAGCGUUGUCCGGAAUUAUUGGGCGUAAAGAGCUCGUAGGCGGUUUGUUGCGUCGGCUGUGAAAACCCGAGGCUCAACCUCGGGCCUGCAGUGGGUACGGGCAGACUAGAGUGCGGUAGGGGAGAUUGGAAUUCCUGGUGUAGCGGUGAAAUGCGCAGAUAUCAGGAGGAACACCGGUGGCGAAGGCGGGUCUCUGGGCCGAUACUGACGCUGAGGAGCGAAAGCGUGGGGAGCAAACAGG